UUUUCAUUUAAUACACUGCAAAAUUCCUUUUCCCAAUAUCAGAUCUUGAUUCAAAUUUUAGAUCUUCUUUCUCUUUUAUCUAACUUCUCACAUCCCACUCUUCACUUCCUUCAUCUCUCACAUUCAUAAUCAUAUUUUUCUUCAUUUUAUUCUUUCUUUUCUCUUCCACUUCUUCCUAUGGAAAAACAUAAAUGGAUUGUCUUUUCAUUUUUCAACUAAACUAAAAUCAAUAUCUCAACUGGUGAAAAAUCGAUGGCGGAGGUGGCACGAACAUGGGAACAAGAAGAAAGUUGCAGAUCAAAAGAGGAAAAAGAAAGUUGUUAUGAGGAAGAUGAAAAAUCCAAAAGAAUCAAAUUGGAUUGUUUUUAUGAAGAUAAUGUAAUUUUUAAAAAAAAAAAUCAAUUUGUAAUCUCUUAAAUUGUGAUGCAAUAUUUGAUAAACUUGUAGAUAUUUUGGGCAAUACAACAAGUUAUGCAAAAUUGUUGUUA